rnacentral:rRNA from 1 species
GAUGAACGCUGGCGGCGUGCUUAACACAUGCAAGUCGAACGAUGAAGCCCAGCUUGCUGGGUGGAUUAGUGGCGAACGUGUGAGUAACACGUGAGUAACCUGCCCUUAACUCUGGGAUAAGCCUGGGAAACUGGGUCUAAUACCGGAUAGGAGCGUCCACCGCAUGGUGGGUGUUGGAAAGAUUUAUCGGUUUUGGAUGGACUCGCGGCCUAUCAGCUUGUUGGUGAGGUAAUGGCUCACCAAGGCGACGACGGGUAGCCGGCCUGAGAGGGUGACCGGCCACACUGGGACUGAGACACGGCCCAGACUCCUACGGGAGGCAGCAGUGGGGAAUAUUGCACAAUGGGCGCAAGCCUGAUGCAGCGACGCCGCGUGAGGGAUGACGGCCUUCGGGUUGUAAACCUCUUUCAGUAGGGAAGAAGCGAAAGUGACGGUACCUGCAGAAGAAGCACCGGCUAACUACGUG